GGCACUGUAGCUCAGUUGGUAGAGCACAUGCUUAACACUCUUCCAAUAUUGAGCGCAUGUUGUCGUCGGUUCGAGCCCGGCCAGAGUCA
rnacentral:tRNA from 1 species